UUAAGAAUCUUGCACAAUGGGGGCAACCCUGAUGCAGCGACGCCGCGUGAAUGAUGAAGGCCUUCGGGUUGUAAAGUUCAGUAAGCAGGGAAGAAUAAGCAAGAGGUAAUAUUUCUUGUGAUGACGGUACCUGCCUAAAGCCCCGGCUAACUACGUGCCAGCAGCCGCGGUAAUACGUAUGGGGCAAGCGUUGUUCGGAAUUAUUGGGCGUAAAGGGCGUCUAGGCGGGGGAUUAAGUUAGAUGUGAAAGCUAUGGGCUCAACCCAUAAACUGCAUCUAAGACUGGUUCUCUUGAGUCCGGGAGAGGAGAGCGGAAUUCCAGGUGUAGCGGUGAAAUGCGUAGAUAUCUGGAAGAACACCAGUGGCGGAGGCGGCUCUCUGGCCUAGGACUGACGCUGAAGCGCGAAAGCGUGGGGAGCGAACA
rnacentral:rRNA from 1 species